GAAGCAAAGAGUCACAACUAGUUAUGCUGAAGAACCAGCUCACAGUUUGAUAGUGAUAUAGUAUUAGCAAGCAUGAUUCAGUCUCUUGUGUGUGGAGAUCAUUUGAAGUGUGUGGAUCUGAAAAGAAGAAUUCUUGGUUAUCUUUAAGAACCAAGUGAUCUGGUUAUGUUGUAGAACCAUAAGAGAAAUUUGAUAGUAUUGAAGUAUCAGUUACUGGAUCUCAGUUUCUCUUGUGUAAAGUUACAUGAAUCUAUUCUCUUGUAUAGAGUGAGUAGUUGUGUUGAAGAACCAAGUAACCUGGUUGUGUUGAAGAACCAAGGAAUACUGAUUGUGUUAAGAAUCAGUGAACAAGAACUAAGAGUGUUUAAGUCUUAGUGAUAUGACCCAUCCUGAAUUUCACCCUGAAACCCGGAGUAAGUCGUGCGGGGACCACCUCCAAGGAAAAUUUACUAAAAAGAUUGGUAAAACCUCCCUUGGAAAUGGACAACCCUAACCCGAAAAAUUCCCAAUUCACACUCUUACUACAGCACGUCCAAAAAUACCACACAAUUAUCCAGCUAAUAAAAGCAAACAUUAUCCUUCAGAAAUUCUAAACAUAAAGUCAACCGACCGAGCACACCAACGAAAAAAUAUACAAUAAUCCCAAAGUAUUCAGAGCUACUAAACACUAGCGGAAGCAAGAAAACACUAGUAGGUUAAACAGGUAACCUACUGAUGAAAACUGGCGGAAAAGCGGGUGACUAUGUCUCGUCUCCUAUUAGGUCCAACCCGAACUCUGCAGACUGGGCAUUUAAAAACGAAGACCCCAGGGGAAAACAUGUGGAACAGUUAGAGUGAGUGGACAAAAAUAAAUUAAUAAAAAAUAUUUCUUUAUGCUUCCCCAAUUUAAUUUUCAUAAAAAAAUAAUACUGCAUGCAAUCGCUCAAAAACGCUCAACUCAAAAACUGGCAAUUUCAUGACUAGCUCCGGCUAGUCUCCAUAACUCAAAGAAAUACAGCCUCUUAGGCUAAACUAUAUAUAAACAUAUAUAAGUGUAUAUAUUUACACUCGUCAGACUCCUUGUAUGAAUUCUAAGAACAAAUUAGAAAAAUAGAAAUUCAUACAAGGCUACUACGCUUGCGUCUAACGCUCACGUCACACCAUAAUGGAAUUGUACCUCAGUAUGGCGGAAAAAGCACGAGUGUAUAUACGUGUGGACUCCCUAUAUGAAAACCUAAAUAAACCAAAUAAGAAAAUAGUUUUCAUAUAGGGCUACUACGCUUGUGUCUAACACUCACAUCACACCAUAAUGGUAUUUUACCACAUUAUGGCGGAUCAAACACGUAUGGCUAGCUAGCAUUUAUAUAUACAUACUAUCCUGAUAAACAUCCCAUAAACAUAUCCACCGAAAAUCUCAUUUCCGGGAACUCUCCAAAGGAGGAAAAAUUGCCAAAUAUCCAAGAAAGAAAUAAAUCUCAGCAAGAGAAAUAAAUGAUCAACAAAAUAAUUCAUCGCAUGCUUUUCAUUUAAAACAAAGGUCCACUCACAAAUUAGGCCUAAACCUGAUGACGCUCCGAGGCUUCCUCUGCUCGGGCCUCCUCUCGUCCUGUUCCAAAUAUAUAAUUAAUUUCCCACUAAAAAUCCAAUAAGUAAACAAAAUGGGCAAAAUUAAACGUGAGCCUCCCACACACUCAUCAUUGCCCAAAUUCGCCAUUUUUAACUUAAUACGGCACAAACUUCGCCGAACAUACCAACAGCCGUAAAAACAACUUCCCACAGAAUACGACUUAAAUCCUACGGCCGGAUUCUACAUUAAUUAACCGCCAAAAAUACCAAACUUCGGAAAUUCACAAACCUAUCCAAAACUCAUCCAAAAAUUCCAUAACUCACUUCAAUAAACUCCCCUUAAUAUUCCAAAUUUAAAAACAUAAAAAUCUCUCAACCGGCAGCAGCGCCGGCCGGAGGCCGAUUCCGGCGACCUCCAAUGCCUAUGAAAUUUUGAUAGAAUAAUCUCCUCAUCAUGCUCUACAACUUUCCUAACUAGCACAAACCCAAAAUCCAAGCCUAGUUAUACCAAUCGAACAAAAACAUAAAAAACGCCCUAGAGCUUCCACCUCAAAUUUCUCCUUACCUGAAGCAAACCGGAGUCAGUCCUUUUAGGGCAAGGUAGCUGGGUUGGAGACCUACAAAACCGUACCAAGCUUGCUCGGAUUGGUGGCCGGAGGAGGGAGUUCCGGCGAAAAGCUUCCCGGUGUCUCCGGCGAGUUUUCUCCUCUUCCGGCAGGCUAACGGCUCGGGGGCUAGGCCAGGGAGGGAGAGGAGGUGAUGGGGGUCCGAACUAGGGUGGAGUGGUGGCUGGUGGCUGGCCGGACGGCGGCAGCUGGGGCUAGAGAAGAACCGGAAACGGGAGAAGUCGGGAAAGGGAAAAACCGGGGAAAAGAAAAGAGAAGAAGAAGAGAGAAAAAGAGAGGGCUGGGCUUUGACCACCCCUUGGCCCGAUCCACACUCUUAUACAACCCAAAUCUAAAACAAAACACCCCGAAAAAAUAAUACCCAAAUAAAAAUUACCUUUUACUAGCUAAAAAUUUACCAUUUUUACCGUCGACGAAUUUUCCUCCUACGAAUAAACCUCCGCACAUAAUCGUCCCCGAAACCCCUCUAGGGACCAAUUAAACUAUUAACUCAAUGACGGAGACGGUAAAAUUCUUAUUAUAACCAAGCUAGUAAAUAAGGUAAAAUAUAAGGGUAGGGAUGUGACAAUUCUCCCCUCCUUAUAAAAAUUUCAUCCUUGAAAUUUACAUACCUGUUAUUCAAAGAGAUAGGGAUACUGCUGCAUCAUUUGCUCCUCCGAUUCCCAAGUAGCUUCUUCUACUUGAUGACUUCUCCAAAACACCUUGACAAGUGGGAUUAUCUUGUUCCUGAGCACUUACUCCUUUCGAUCAAGAAUCUGAACCGGAUCCUCUUCAUAAGACAAAUCUUUCGUCAAACUAAUCGGCUGCUCUUGCAGCACAUGAGAAGGAUCGGCAAUAUACUUGCGGAGCAUGGAUACAUGAAACACAUUAUGUAUCUUGGAUAACUCUAGAGGCAAGGCUAAUCGAUAAGCAAGUGAGCCAACUCGCUCUAUUAUCUCAUAAGGGCCAAUAUACCUCGGACUAAGCUUCCCACGCUUACCGAAACGUACUACCCCUUUCCAAGGAGAUAGUUUCAAGAACACCCAAUCACCCACUUGAAACUCAAGGUCUCUCCUACGGACAUCUGCAUAACUUUUUGCCUACUUUGAGCAGUCUUGAGUCUAUCUCUAACCACUUUAAUCUUCUCAUUCGUAACAUGGAUUAACUCUGGGCCACAAAGCUCAUUUUCCCCCACUUCAUUCCAACACAAAGGCGUGCGACAUUGCCUCCCAUAAAGAGCCACAAAGGGAGCCAUACCAAUGCUAGAAUGAUAGCUAUUAUUAUAGGCAAAUUCCAUCAAAUAUAGGUUUUUAUCCCAACUUCCUCUAAACUGCAAAGCACAAGCCCUUAACAUAUCCUCCAAAGUCUGAAUAGUCCUCUCGGACUGCCCAUCAGUCUGAGGAUGAAAAGCAGUGCUGAAAAGUAAUUGGGUACCUAAAGCUGCUUGAAGAGCUCCCCAGAAUUUAGAAGCAAAUCGAGGAUCCCGAUCUGACACUAUUGAUUCAGGAACACCAUGAAGCUUCACAAUUUCAUUCACAUAAAGCUCCGCCAAUUUAUCCAAUUUGAACUUCUUUCCCACUGGCAAGAAAUAUGCAGACUUGGUGAGUCUAUCCACAAUCACCCAAAUACCGUCAUGCCCUUCACAGGUACGAGGUAAACUGAAAACAAAAUCCAUGGUGAUGUGGUCCCACUUCCACACUGGAAUAGGCAACGGCUCAAGCAAUCCAGAAGGCUUCUGCCUUUCAGCUUUUAUUUGCUGACAAAUCAGACAUCUACUAACAUAAGCUGCAAUUUCUCUCUUCAUGUUUGGCCACCAAUAAUAAUCCUUCAAAAUCCGAUACAUUUUUGUGCUAUCCGGAUGAGCAGCAUAAGCAAAACUAUGAGCUUCCUCCAUUAUCUCACUCUUCAACUCUUCAUUUCUUUUUGGAACACAAAGCCGAUUCUUAAACAAUAAAGUCCCAUCCCUUCUAACUGAGAAAUGAUCAGCUGCGGCUCCGCUCAAAGCUCUUUCUAUCAAUCGAUCUAUGGAAGGAUCAUUAUUCUGUGCUUCCCGCACUCUAUCAACCAAAACUGGCCUCACAUGAAAACUGGCUACCAAAGCACCAACCUCAUCUACUGCUAGAUCCACCCCUGUAGCUCGCAACUCACGAAGAAGCGGAACACAAACCAUCUUUAUAUGAGAUAAAGAUAUAGAGGGAUUUCGACUAAGAGCAUUAGCUACCACAUUAGCUUUUCCAGGAUGAUACUCAAUAGUGCAAUCAUAAUCAUUGAUUAACUCCAUCCACCUUCUCUGUCUCAUAUUUAGCUCUCUUUGAGUGAACACAUACCGAAGAUUCUUGUGAUCGGUAAAAAUCUGACACUUGGCCCCAUAAAGAUAGUGUCUCCACAACUUGAGGGCAAAAACUACCGCUGCAAGCUCCUGAUCAUGAGUAGGAUAAUUUCCCUCAUGCGGCUUCAAUUGCCUAGAAGCGUAGGCAAUAACUCGAUCAUGCUGCAUCAAAACUCCACCUAGACCACGUCUAGAAGCAUCACAAUAGACCACAUACUCUCCACUAUCAUCCGGAAGUGCUAAAACAGGAGCACUUGUCAAGCAAUUCUUCAAUUCUUGGAAACUUUGCUCACAUUGAUCUGACCAUUCAAACUUAACCCCCUUCCUGUUCAAUCCUGUAAGAGCAGCAAUUUUUGAAAAAUCUUUCACAAAGCGCCGAUAAUAACCUGCUAAUCCCAAGAAACUACGAAUCUCUGUCACAGUGGUGGGUCUUCUCCAAUUCGACACUGCUUCCACCUUUUGGGGAUCCACACUAACUCCUUCUGCCGAAACCACAUGACCCAAAAACCCCACCUUAUCUAGCCAAAACUCACACUUGCUAAACUUAGCAAAUAACUGCGAAUUUUCCAAAGUCCGCAAUAUUAUUCUUAGAUGCUUGGCAUGCUCCUUCUCACUUCUUGAGUAAACCAAGAUGUCAUCUAUGAAUACGAUCACGAAACGAUCAAGGUAUGGACUAAACACCCUAUUCAUCAGAUCCAUGAACGCCGCGGGUGCAUUAGUAAGUCCAAAUGGCAUCACCACAAACUCAUAAUGACCAUAUCGUGACCGAAAAGUAGUCUUGGCUAUGUCCCCCUCUCGGAUCCGCAACUGAUGAUAACCCGAUCUCAAAUCAAUCUUAGAGAAAACAGAGGCACCCCUCAACUGAUCAAAUAAAUCAUCGAUCCGAGGUAACGGAUAUUUAUUCUUCACUGUGACCUAAUUCAACUUCCUGUAAUCAAUGCAUAGUCUCAUGGUGCCAUCUUUCUUCUUAACAAAUAACACUGGAGCACCCCAUGGAGACAUGCUAGGCCGAAUAAAACCCUUAUCUACCAACUCCUGCAAUUGAGUCUUCAACUCUUUCAAUUCCGCUGGAGCCAUUCUGUAAGGUGCCUGAGAUAUAGGCAUAGUUCCGGGAAGUAAUUCUAUAGAGAAGUCUAUCUCCCUUGCAGGAGGCAAACUAGGCAAAUCUUCAGGAAAAACAUCCGAAAACUCCCUUACAACAGGAAUAUCUUCUAAUCCCACAACUCCCAUACUUGAAUCCACCACAUGAGCUAAAUAUGCCCGACAGCCUUUACUCAACAAUUUCCUUGCAGCAACAGCGGAAAUUAUGCAACUAGAAAUAACAUCUCUUUCCCCUUGGAAAGCAACCUCAAAACCAUCUAGACUUCGAAACACCACUACUUUUUGAAAACAAUCUACCAUAGCUCUAUAUGCUUCCAAAAAGUCCAUUCCCAAGAUCACAUCAAACUCCACUAUAUCUAAAGGAAUUAAAUCAGCCUCGAAAUUAACUCCUUCCACUAAAACUUCACAACCACUAAAUACCCAAUUUAUUCUCAUCACCUCACCGGAGGGUAGAGACACAUGCCAUUUGCCUGGAAGAGACGAUGAUAACACAUUGGCAUGGAGGGCAAAUCUACUAGACAUGAAUGAAUGCGUGGCUCCGGGAUCAAUUAAAGUAAAUGCAGGCUGACCAAAAAUUAAUAACGUACCAAUGAUGACAUCUGGAGAAGUACGACCCUCCUGCUGGGUCAUAGCAUGCAGUCUAGCGCGAGUCAUGGUACGUCCACUCUGACCACCACCUCUCUGAGAGCCACCUCUAACCGAAACACUGCCCUGGGCACCACUACUAGAGCCCGUAACUGAAGACUGACCAACUGGCUGAGUAGGGGUGGGGGUGGUCCUCUGAGCCAACAAUGGGCAAUCUCUCCUGAAGUGGUCUUGACCACCACACUCAAAGCACCCAGAAAACUGCUGCUGCCCAUAAGAAAAAGUCUGGCUACCAGAUGACCCACCAUGAAAGCUACCAGCAGGACCAUACUGCUCAGACUGCUGCCUACCCAAAUGACUCCGAGAAGGUCUCCUGAAACGUCCUCUAGUCCUGUUUCGAGCACCAGAGCUCGAUCCCCCACUACUACCACUACCAGCAGACGACCCAGAAGCGGAUGAUGAAGCAGCCUUCUUGGAUGGACCCUGACUAGGGCCACCAUAAUCACGGGGCCGAACACCAUAUGUCCCCCUGAACUCAAUGGCCAUGGUUGCACCAACUGCAUCCGCAAAGGUCGGGUAAAUUACCCCUGUCAUCUUGUCUGCAUACACCCCACCAAGUGCCCCAAUGAACAUCUCAAUCCUGGUCUUCUCAUCAGGAACCAGAUAUGACACAUGGUAGCUCAGUGAAGUGAACCUUUCCUGGAACUCUAAGAUACCCUCGUCAUCCCUCUUCGUCAUAUGCAGAAAAUCCGACUGAAUUCUGCUGCGGUGGGCAUGAUUGAAAUAUUGCCCCAAGAAGAGAGUCUUAAACUGCUCCCAUGACAUAUUCAGAGCAUCCUCAAUAUUCCUGCUGGCAAACGACCACCAGUGAUGUGCUGAAUCAUCCAGAAAAGUCACUGCCAUCUUCACCUUUCUUUCUUCUGGCAGCUCAGUGCUCGCAAAAGCAUUUUCCAUCUUGUCCACCCAAUUGUGAGCAACAAGAGGUCCCUUGGCACCCUUGAACUCUUUGGCUCCAGCACCAAAAACUUCUCUCCUUUUCACCGUAGGAAGGCGUGGAGCUCGAUCCAUGACAUCCCUCAGCAUAUUUCCAAUAUCAUCAACCAGUCCCCUGACCUCAUUGCCCUCAUUGGCAUUGGUCGAAGUGGCCACACGGGGUUGCCGUGCGCGCCUAGGAGGCAUAGUACCUGAGGAAGAAGAUAUUUAGUACUCUAUAAAUAAGACUAACACAACUAUCACACAUACCCAAUAACACAUAGCAUCAAAAGCAUAAAAUGCCAAUGAAUCCGCCGCGGUCGGAUCAUCACUCUAUAGACACUACGUGCUACUUAGGCAAAUAUGAUAGUGACAAGGAAGCAGGAAAAGGAAACCAAAAGCUCUGAUACCAACUGACACGACCCAUCCCGAAUUUCACCCUGAAACCCGGAGUAAGUCGUGCGGGGACCACCUCCAAGGAAAAUUUACCCAAAAGAUUGGUAAAACCUCCCUUGGAAAUGGACAACCCUAACCCGAAAAAUUCCCAAUUCACACUCUUACUACAGCACGUCCAAAAAUACCACACAAUUAUCCAGCUAAUAAAAGCAAACAUUAUCCUUCAGAAAUUCUAAACAUAAAGUCAAUCGACCGAGCAUAUCAACGAAAAAAUAUACAAUAAUCCCAAAGUAUUCAGAGCUACAAGACACUAGCGGAAGCAAGAAAACACUAGUAGGUUAAAAAGGUAACCUACUGAUGAAAACUGGCGGAAAAGCGGGUGACUAUGCCUCGUCUCCUACUAGGUCUAACCCGAAGAGCCCAGGGGAAAACAUGUGGAAUAGUUUGAGUGAGUGGACAAAAAUAAAUUAAUAAAAAAUAUUUCUUUAUGCUUCCCCAAUUUAAUUUCCAUAAAAAUAUAAUACUGCAUGCAAUCGCUCAAAAGCGCUCAACUCAAAAACUGGCAAUUUCAUGACUAGCUCCGGCUAGUCUCCAUAACUCAAAGAAAUACAGCCUCUCAGGCUAAACUAUAUAUAAACAUAUAUAAGUAUAUAUAUUUACACUCGUCAAACUCCUUGUAUGAAUUCUAAGAACAAAUUAGAAAAAUAGAAAUUCAUACAAGACUACUACGCUUACGUCUAACGCUCACGUCACACCAUAAUGGAAUUGUACCUCAGUAUGGCGGAAACAGCACGAGUGUAUAUACAUGUGGACUCCCUAUAUGAAAACCUAAAUAAACCAAAUAAGAAAAUAGUUUUCAUAUAAGGCUACUACGCUUGUGUCUAACACUCACGUCACACCAUAAUGGUAUUUUACCUCAUUAUGGCGGAUUAUACACGUAUGGCUAGCUAGCAUUUAUAUAUAUAUACUAUCCUCAUAAACAUCCUAUAAACAUAUCCACCGAAAAUCUCAUUUCCGGGAACUCUCCAAAGGAGGAAAAAUUGCCAAAUAUCCAAGAAAGAAAUAAAUCUCAGAAAGAGAAAUAAAUGAUCAACAAAAUAAUUCAUCGUAUGCUUUUCAUUUAAAACAAAGGUCCACUCACAAAUUAGGCCUAAGCCUGAUGACGCUCCGAGGAUUCCUCUGCUCGGGCCUCCUCUCGUCCUGUUCCAAAUAUAUAAUUAAUUUCCCACUAAAAAUCCAAUAAGUAAACAAAAUGGGCAAAAUUAAACGUGAGCCUCCCACACACUCAUCAUUGCCCAAAUUCACCAUUCUUAACUCAAUACAGCUCAAACUUCACCGAACAUACCGGCAGCCGUAAAAACAACUUCCCACAGAAUACGACUUAAAUCCUACGGCCGGAUUCUACAUUAAUUAACCGCCAAAAAUACCAAACUUCGGAAAUUCACAAACCUAUCCAAAACUCAUCCAAAAAUUCCAUAACUCACUUCAAUAAACUCCCCUUAAUAUUCCAAAUUUAAAAACAUAAAAAUCUCUCAACCGGCUGCAGCACCGGCCGGAGGCCGAUUCCGGCGACCUCCAAUGCCUAUGAAAUUUUGAUAGAAUAAUCUCCUUAUCAUGCUCUACAACUUUCCUAACUAGCACAAACCCAAAAUCCAAGCCUAGCUAUGCCAAUCGAACAAAAACAUCAAAAACGCCCUAGAGCUUCCACCUCAAAUUUCUCCUUACCUGAAGCAAACCAGAGUCAGUCCUUUUAGGGCAAGGUAGCUGGGUUGGAGACCUACAAAACCAUACCAAGCUUGCCCGGAUUGGUGGCCGGAGGAGGGAGUUCCGGCGAAAAGCUUCCCGGCGUCUCCGGCGAGUUUUCUCCUCUUCCGGCAGGCUAACGGCUCGGGGGCUAGGCCGGGGAGGGAGAGGAGGUGAUGGGGGUCCGAACUGGGGUGGAGUGGUGGCUGGUGGCUGGCUGGACGGCGGCAGCUGGGGCUGGAGAAGAACCGGAAACGGGAGAAGUCGGGAGAGGGAAAAACCGAGGAAAAGAAAAGAGAAGAAGAAGAGAGAAAAAGAGAGGGCUGGGCUUUGACCACCCUUUGGCCCGGUCCACACUCUUAUACAACCCAAAUCCAAAAUAAAACACCCCGAAAAAAUAAUACCCGAAUAAAAAUUACCUUUUACUAGCUAAAAUUUACCAUAUUUACCGUUGACGAAUUUUCCUCCUACGAAUAAACCUCCGCACAUAAGGGUCCCCGAAACCCCUAUAGGAACCAAUUAAACUAUUAACUUAAUGACGGAGACGGUAAAAUUCUUAUUAUAACCAAACUAGUAAAUAAGGUAAAAUAUAAGGGUCGGGAUGUAGCACUUAGUGUGGAACUAGUUGUGUUUAAGAACUAGUUGAACUGAGAGUGGUGUAGUCCCAGUACUCUAGAUUCAUUUUCUCUUUGUAGAGUUACAUGAAUUAGAGUCAUUUGUGUUGAGAUAGAGAAUUGUAACAAGAAGUAAGACUUGUAGUGUUAUAGUUGUGUGAGAACUAUACCUCUUGUAAACUCUGAUUUGAAGAUUGAAGUAAUAAUCUUGUUUGGUGCUUUUUCCCUCAUUGAGGUUUUGCACCAAGCCAUUUGAAAUACAUUGUGUUGAUUAUCUAUGCCUACUUAAUCCAUUUUAGUAAUCUUCAUUUGGUACCAGAGCAGGUCACUAAACAUACAUAAUGAGAUUCGUGGGAUAAGGGUGGAACAUAAAACAGCUACAAAUUUGAUCAAUUGUUCUCUUCUCUCUAAUGAUGUAUUGGUAAGUCAUCUAGAGAAUUUUGAGGUAAGAAACAAGCCCGAGAAAGAGGUAAAAGUAUUUUCUUCUUCUUUGGUCAAUCAAGAAGAUGAUAUUGACAUGAAUGAGUUUAAGCGUUUAGUCAAAAAUUUUAAGAUGCUUCUUA
rnacentral:lncRNA from 1 species